rnacentral:rRNA from 1 species
UACGAAGGGGCUAGCGUUGCUCGGAAUUACCGGGCGUAAAGCGCACGUAGGCGGAUUGUUAAGUCGGGGGUGAAAUCCUGGAGCUCAACUCCAGAACUGCCUUCGAUACUGGCGAUCUCGAGUCCGGGAGAGGUGAGUGGAACUGCGAGUGUAGAGGUGAAAUUCGUAGAUAUUCGCAAGAACACCAGUGGCGAAGGCGGCUCACUGGCCCGGUACUGACGCUGAGGUGCGAAAGCGUGGGGAGCAACAGGG